GGGGAUAUAGCUCAGUUGGUAGAGUGCUUGCCUUGCAAGCACAAGGCCCUGGGUUCAAUUCCCAGCACCACCA
rnacentral:tRNA from 1 species